rnacentral:tRNA from 1 species
AGAGCAUCAGACUUUUAAUCUGAGGGUGCAGGGUUCAAGCCCCUGGUCAGCCU